AUUGAACGCUGGCGGCAUGCCUUACACAUGCAAGUCGAACGGCAUCGCGGGAAAGCUUGCUUUCCUGGCGGCGAGUGGCGAACGGGUGAGUAACACAUCGGAACGUACCGGCUAGUGGGGGAUAACCCGUCGAAAGACGGGCUAAUACCGCAUACGCUCUUCGGAGGAAAGCAGGGGACCUUUGGGCCUUGCGCUAGCCGAGCGGCCGAUGUCCGAUUAGCUAGUUGGUGGGGUAAAGGCCUACCAAGGCGACGAUCGGUAGCGGGUCUGAGAGGACGAUCCGCCACACUGGGACUGAGACACGGCCCAGACUCCUACGGGAGGCAGCAGUGGGGAAUCUUGGACAAUGGGGGCAACCCUGAUCCAGCAAUGCCGCGUGGGUGAAGAAGGCCUUCGGGUUGUAAAGCCCUUUCGGCAGGGAAGAAAUCGGCGGGGCGAAUAACCCUGCAGGAUGACGGUACCUGCAGAAGAAGCACCGGCUAACUACGUG
rnacentral:rRNA from 1 species